GAUGAACGCUAGCUACAGGCUUAACACAUGCAAGUCGAGGGGCAGCAUGAACUUAGCUUGCUAAGUUUGAUGGCGACCGGCGCACGGGUGAGUAACACGUAUCCAACCUUCCGUUUACUCAGGGAUAGCCUUUCGAAAGAAAGAUUAAUACCUGAUAGUAUGGUGAGAUUGCAUGAUAACACCAUUAAAGAUUUAUUGGUAAACGAUGGGGAUGCGUUCCAUUAGGUAGUAGGCGGGGUAACGGCCCACCUAGCCUGCGAUGGAUAGGGGUUCUGAGAGGAAGGUCCCCCACAUUGGAACUGAGACACGGUCCAAACUCCUACGGGAGGCAGCAGUGAGGAAUAUUGGUCAAUGGGCGAGAGCCUGAACCAGCCAAGUAGCGUGAAGGAUGAAGGUCCUACGGAUUGUAAACUUCUUUUAAUACGGGAAUAAAGUUUCCUACGUGUAGGAUUUUGUAUGUACCGUAUGAAUAAGCAUCGGCUAACUCCGUG
rnacentral:rRNA from 1 species